rnacentral:lncRNA from 1 species
UUAUCUCUUAUUAAUUAAAUCUGAUUAGAUUAUUUACUGGAUUGCCCUCAUCUCCUCCCCAAGCUCCAUCUUCUUCACCAAGCCUCCAUCCAUGGCUGCCGCCGGCAGCCACCGUCCGGCAACUUUCCGGCGACCUGCAAAUCGCGCGCAACCACCAUGAAUCAACUCCCCGAAUCCCGAUCUAUACAUCCCUCCAUUUAUUUUUGAGAAACUCAGCCUCCUUUCCAUUUUCCGGCCAAACC